AGUUUGAUCAUGGCUCAGAUUGAACGCUGGCGGCAUGCCUUACACAUGCGAGUCGAACGGCAGCACGGGAGCUUGCUCCUGGUGGCGAGUGGCGAACGGGUGAGUAAUGCAUCGGAACGUGCCCUGAAGUGGGGGAUAACGUAGCGAAAGUUACGCUAAUACCGCAUAUUCUGUGAGCAGGAAAGCAGGGGAUCUUCGGACCUUGCGCUUUUGGAGCGGCCGAUGUCGGAUUAGCUAGUUGGUGGGUAAAGGCCCACCAAGGCGACGAUCCGUAGCGGGUCUGAGAGGAUGAUCCGCCACACUGGAACUGAGACACGGUCCAGACUCCUACGGGAGGCAGCAGGUGGGUAAUUUGGACAAUGGGCGCAAGCCUGAUCCAGCCAUGCCGCGUGAGUGAAGAAGGCCGUUCGGGUUAGUAAAGCUUCUUUCGGUGGGGAAGAAAUUGCUUGGGUUAAUACCCUGAGUAGAUGACGGUACCCGCAUAAGAAGCACCGGCUAACUACGUG
rnacentral:rRNA from 1 species